rnacentral:rRNA from 1 species
AACGAACGCUGGCGGCAGGCCUAACACAUGCAAGUCGAGCGGACCUUUCGGGGUCAGCGGCGGACGGGUGAGUAACGCGUGGGAAUAUGCCCUUCUCUACGGGAUAGUCCUGGGAAACUGGGGGUAAUACCGUAUACGCCCUUUGGGGGAAAGAUUUAUCGGGGAAGGAUUAGCCCGCGUUGGAUUAGGUAGUUGGUGGGGUAAUGGCCUACCAAGCCGACGAUCCAUAGCUGGUUUGAGAGGAUGGUCAGCCACACUGGGACUGAGACACGGCCCAGACUCCUACGGGAGGCAGGAAUGGGGGAUCCUAGACAAUGGGGGCAACCCUGAACUAGCCAUGGCGCGUGAGUGAUGAAGGCCUUAGGGUUGUAAAGCUCUUUCAGCUGGGAAGAUAAUGACGGUACCAACAGAAGAAGCCCCGGCUAACUCCGUG